CGGGGCGUAGCGCAGCCUGGUAGCGCACUUGCAUGGGGUGCAAGGGGUCGCGAGUUCGAAUCCCGCCGUCCCGA
rfam:Rhizobacter sp. Root404 contig_3, whole genome shotgun sequence.